rnacentral:rRNA from 1 species
UACAGAGGUCUCGAGCGUUAGGCGGAAUCACUGGGCUUAAAGCGUGUGUAGGCGGAUCGGUAAGUACCUUGUGAAAUCCCACAGCUUAACUGUGGAACUGCUCGGUAUACUGCCAGUCUUGAGCCAGCUAGGGGCUACCGGAACAAAUGGUGGAGCGGUGAAAUGCGUAGAUAUCAUUUGGAACGCCAAUGGUGAAAACAGGUAGCUGGGGCUGUGCUGACGCUGAGACACGAAAGCGUGGGGAGCGAACAGG